GACGAACGCUGGCGGCGUGCUUAACACAUGCAAGUCGAACGGAAAGGCCCUGCUUUUGUGGGGUGCUCGAGGGGCGAACGGGUGAGUAACACGUGGGUAACCUGCCCUUGACUUUGGGAUAACUUCAGGAAACUGGGGCUCAUACCGGAUAGGAGCUCCUGCUGCAUGGUGGGGGUUGGAAAGUUUCGGCGGUUGGGGAUGGACUCGCGGCUUAUCAGCUUGUUGGUGGGGUAGUGGCUUACCAAGGCUUUGACGGGUAGCCGGCCUGAGAGGGUGACCGGCCCCAUUGGGCCUGAGAUACGGCCCAGACCCCUACGGGAGGCAGCAGUGGGGAAUAGUGCACAAUGGGCGGAAGCCUGAUGCAGCAACGCCGCGUGCGGGAUGACGUCCUUCGGGUUGUAAACCGCUUUCGCCUGUGACGAAGCGUGAGUGACGGUAAUGGGUAAAGAAGCACCGGCUAACUACGUG
rnacentral:rRNA from 1 species